rnacentral:rRNA from 1 species
GUCUUUUUGAUUAUAAUUUAAAGUCUGGCCUGCCCACUGAUUUUUAAAGGGCCGCAGUAUUUUAACUGUGCAAAGGUAGCAUAAUAAUUAGUUUCUUAAUUAGAAGCUUGUAUGAAUGGUUAAACGAGAAAUUAACUGUCUCAAUUUAUUUAUUAAAAUUUUAUUUUUAAGUUAAAAAGCUUAAAUUUAUUUAAAAGACGAGAAGACCCUAUAGAGUUUUAUAUAAAUUAAAAUUUUAAUUUUUAGAAUUAUUUAAAUUUUAGUAAUUAUUUUAUUGGGGUGAUGUAUAAAUUUAAUAAACUUUAUAUUUUUAUUAACAUAAAUUUAUGAAUUUUUGAUCCAUUUUUUAUGAUUAUAAGAAUAAAUUACCUUAGGGAUAACAGCGUUAUUUUUUUUUAGAGUUCAAAUCGAAAAAAAAGAUUGCGACCUCGAUGUUGGAUUAAAAUUAAUUUUUGGUGUAGAAGCUAAAAAAUUAGGUCUGUUCGACCUUUAAAAUUUUACAUGAUCUGAGUUUAGACCGGCGUGAGCCAGGUUGGUUUCUAUCUUUAAAAAAAUUAAAUAUUUUAGUACGAAAGGACCAAAUAUUUUUAAUAUUUAAUAUAUUUAGAAUAU